rnacentral:rRNA from 1 species
CAUGCGCACAAUGCGGCACAGGAUACUUCCUCCACAGUGGUGGGUGCUAUUCCACAGCUGAGAAUAAGCCAGGUCGUGCCCUUUGCACAACCGCAGGAGAUGGGGUCUGCACCCAGGGUGCCGAUGGGUACUUCGCUGUUCCGGGGGCGGCCAAGACGGACCAGUCUGUCGCGGCGUGCGGCGACACAACCGGGAUCACUGUUAGUGGAAACAAGAAGUACAUUGGUGUGGACGGCUGUGCCAAAUGUACUAAACCAGAAUUGUUAUCAGAAACUGGCAUUAAAGCCGCAACGUGCAUAGAGUGCACUACUCCUAAGAUAGUCAAGACAGCUGCUGAUGUAACCUCCUGUGUCACAGAGGAGGAGUGCACAGGAGCUGAGGGCUUCUUCAUAGACAACAUCGGUGGAAAGAAGUGCAGUGCCUGUGAUGGUACGUGCAAGACGUGCAGCGGUGCAGCAGUACAGUGCACCUCGUGAAAUCCAGACAAGCCAUACCUGAAGAAGACACAGUCAACUGACCAGACGGGCACGUGUACUAAUGAGCAAGAGUGCACAAACGGCAACACAUACUACGCAGACGACGCGGUGGAUCCCACGAGCGGCAAGCUGUGCAGAAAGUGCGCAGAGGGUGGCCUAAAGGACUGUGCUACAUGUGUGAAAUCUGCCGAUGACCUAGUGUGCAAGGAGUGCCCUGCUGAUUCAUCACCUGAUACGGACAGCGUUUGUGUGCAGCAGUGAUCCAGACUCUUUCUCCAGCGCAACAGUGGGUACCUUCGUUGCGGCUAUCCUCAUCGUCGACGGGUCCUCUGCCACAAGAAGAAGUAGGCUUCGCAGGGCAGUAAACAAUCGCCUAGUAUCAUGCAGUCUCCUGUACUUCAGCAUACGGUCCUCGAGGAAGGCUCUCUUC